GACAAACAGGUCAUGUUAAGUUUAGUUGGUAUAAAAGGAGGUUAAAAGUUAAGGUAGUUAAAAAGGCUAACUUGGCAUGAAGAGGUGGAAUUCGCACAUGUUAAGUUAUACUAUCUCUUUUUGUUACUUGAUUCCUCGAAAAUUAGUUGGAAGACCGGGAUUAGAUACCCCGUUAUUUUUUUUAUAAAUUUUGAUUGUUAAUUGAUUUACCUGAGUAUUACGGGUUAAAAUAUUUUACAGUUCGCGUAAUUAUAAAAUAUUAAGGUACUUAAAACUCAAAAAACUUGGCGGUGCCUUAUUUCCUCCCAGGGGAACCUGUCCUGUAAUCGAUAAUCCGCGAUUUAUCUUACUUUUUUUUGAAUAGCUUUAAAAAGAUUAUCAGUUUGUAUACCGUCGUCGUCAGAUUACCUUUAAGAGUGAAAAAGUUGUCGGUUGAAUUAGGAGGAUUUGUCUAUUUUGUUUCUAAAAUUUACAAAAAUCAAUUUUUGAUGUCAGAUCAAGGUGCAGCUAAUAGAAAAGUAGAGAUGGGUUACAAUAUAAAUUUUAUAUUAUGGAUAUUGACUUGUAAAAGUUAAGUGAAAGUGGACUUGGAAGUAAUUUUAUUUUGUGAGUAUAAAUUAGAAAGUUUAUGUGAAUAAAGGUACUAAGGUGCGC
rnacentral:rRNA from 1 species